CUCUCAUCUUAAGUGGGAGAACUUGCACAAUUGGUGGCUGACUAAAUACUUUUUUGCCCCACUGUAUGCGUUCAUCACUUUUCAGAGUAACAAGUGUGUUGGCUCGGGGUUAGGUUUAUAAACAAAGACACUGUGUAAAGAUUUCCGGUAAAUAUUUGAUUGAAAACCAGACACUGUAUCAUUUGGGACUGAAGGGUUCUAUUGUGUUAAUUUAUGUGUUCAUAUGUCGUGAUUUGUUCUCGACUGUGUAGCUACAUAAUAAACUGUGCAAGUAAUGUAGCCUACUACAUACAGUAUGUAAUGUGGCUAGCAACUUGAAUGUAUAGGCUCUACAGUGCCUUCAGAAAGUAUUCAUACCCUUGACUUAUUCCAUGUUUUGUGGUGUCACAGCCUGAAUUCAAAAUGGAUUACAGAUAUUUUUUCCUCACCCAUCUACACACAACAACAAAGUGAAAACAUGUACUUUUUUUAGCAAAUGUAUUGAAAAUUAAAUACAGAAAUAUUUAAUUUACAUAAGUAGAAUCGCCUUUGGCAGCGAUUACAGCUGUGAGUCUUUCUGGGUAUGUUUCUUAAGAGUUUUACACACCUGGAUUGUACAAUACCUGCACAUUAUUUAAAAAAUCCUUCAUGCACUGUCAAGUUGGUUCUCUGGCAGGCUAUUCCAGAGGCUGGGGGCAUAGUAACUAAAGGCUGCCUCUCCAUGCCUCUUGGUCCUAGACUUUGGGAUAGUUAAAAGGCCAGUGCCAGAGGACAUGAAGGACCUACUGUGUACAUACCUGGCAUGUAUUGGGUGCACAACUGUGGAUUGAUUUCAAAACCAAUAGAAUCUUAGAAUUAAUUAAAUUAAAACUCACAGGCACCCAGACAGGAGAGCAUUACAGUAGUCAAGCCUACUUGUGAUAAAGGCAUAGAAAAACAGCUGCACCAUGGCAAUGUUCAUCAGUGUCACGCCUGUUCCCGAUCCCCCUCGCACCAGGCUGACUAUCAUUACGCGCAUCAGUGCUUCAUUGGACUCACCUGGACUCCUUCACUUUGUUGAUUGCCUCCUAUCUGUCCAUUAUUUAUUAAAUGUUCACUCUCUGUACUUGCGUCUCUUCUCCCAGUGUUUUUUUGUUUUUGUUUGGUGACGUCGGGUGCGGCGGCCGAAGGAACCGGGGAUGCCUCAGCUGGCUCGUCGAGCUUCCACGCCUUAGCUGGCUCGAGAGGUUUUCUUUCCUAGGUUGCCUCGGCAGACUCCCAUCCCGCGUCAUGCAUUCAGCCGGCAUGAUACUCAAAAGACUCAGUCGCCAAACUAAAUGUCCUUACAGCUGAGAGCAUUAGUGAAAA